UACGAAGGGGGCUAGCGUUGCUCGGAAUCACUGGGCGUAAAGCGCACGUAGGCGGGUUGCCAAGUCGGGGGUGAAAUCCUGGAGCUCAACUCCAGAACUGCCUUCGAUACUGGCGACCUUGGAGUCCGGGAGAGGUGAGUGGAACUGCGAGUGUAGAGGUGAAAUUCGUAGAUAUUCGCAAGAACACCAGUGGCGAAGGCGGCUCACUGGCCCGGUACUGACGCUGAGGUGCGAAAGCGUGGGGAGCGAACUGG
rnacentral:rRNA from 1 species